rnacentral:snRNA from 1 species
AGUUUUGCCUAGAAGCAGUCUCAUAGCCAAUGAGGUUCAUCCAAGGCAUGAUUAUUGCUAAUUGAAAACUUUCCCCAGAGUUAGUCAUUUAUUAGUCAUUUAUUUCAUUUUUUAAAGAAA